rnacentral:rRNA from 1 species
AACUCCGUGCCAGCAGCCGCGGUAAUACGGAGGAUCCGAGCGUUAUCCGGAUUUAUUGGGUUUAAAGGGUGCGUAGGCGGCCUGUCAAGUCGGCGGUGAAACCCCCGGGCUCAACCCGGGGACUGCCGUCGAAACUGACGGGCUUGAGUACGUUGGGAGUGCGCGGAAUGUGUGGUGUAGCGGUGAAAUGCUUAGAUAUCACACAGAACACCGAUCGCGAAGGCAGCGCACUACGCCGUAACUGACGCUGAGGCACGAAGGUGCGGGGAUCGAACAGGAUUAGAUACCCUGGUAGUCCGCACAGUAAACGAUGGAUGCUCGCCGUCCGCGAUAUACAGCGGGUGGCCAAGCGAAAGCGAUAAGCAUCCCACCUGGGGAGUACGCCGGCAACGGUGAAACUCAAAGGAAUUGACGGGGGCCCGCACAAGCGGAGGAACAUGUGGUUUAAUUCGAUGAUACGCGAGGAACCUUACCCGGGCUUGAAAUGCGGACGAUCGGGGGUGAAAGCCCCCUUCCAGCAAUGGCGUCCGCGUAGGUGCUGCAUGGUUGUCGUCAGCUCGUGCCGUGAGGUGUCGGCUUAAGUGCCAUAACGAGCGCAACCCUUAUCAUUAGUUACUAACAGGUUAAGCUGAGGACUCUAAUGAGACUGCCACCGUAAGGUGCGAGGAAGGUGGGGAUGACGUCAAAUCAGCACGGCCCUUACGUCCGGGGCGACACACGUGUUACAAUGGGCGGUACAGAGGGAGGCCAGGCGGCGACGCCGAGCAGAUCCCCAAAAACCGCUCUCAGUUCGGAUCGGAGUCUGCAACUCGACUCCGUGAAGCUGGAUUCGCUAGUAAUCGCGCAUCAGCCAUGGCGCGGUGAAUACGUUCCCGGGCCUUGUACACACCGCCCGUCAAGCCAUGGGAGUCUGGAGUACCUGAAGUCCGUGACCGCAAGGAGCGGCCUAGGGUAAGACAGGUGACUGGGGCUAAGUCGUAACAAGGUAGCCGUACCGGAAGGUGCGGCUG